rfam:Pteropus alecto contig36587, whole genome shotgun sequence.
GUCUAUGGCCAUGCUACCCUGAACAAGCCCGAUCCCAUCUGAUCUUGGAAGCUAAGCCCUGGUUAGUACUUGGAUGGGAGACCACCUAGGAAGACCAGGUGCUGCAUGUG